rnacentral:rRNA from 1 species
AAGCUUGUCUUCCCUGAGUAAGCCGGGACCUAAGCCCAGGCUAGAAUGCGUAGGCGAAUGGAAAACAGAUGAAUAUUUCUGUGCCAGUUCUACUUUGUGAAGGAGGGACGCAGAAGGGUAUGCGCGCAGACGAACGGAAGAGUCUGUAGAAGCAUGUAGAGUGACUUGGUAGGCAAAUCCGCCAGGUUAGACUUAAGGUGUGACAUAUACUCGCAAGAGGAAUGCGCAAAUCCCACGCUGCCGAGAAAAGCUUCUAGCGGUAAAGUAGAGACUGCCCGUACUGGAAACCGACACAGGUGGUCAGGAUGAGAAAUCUAAAGCGGACAGGCUAACUCUCGUUAAGGAACUCUGCAAAAUGGCCCCGUAACUUCGGGAGAAGGGGUGCCUUUAGGCGUGAGUAUACAAGCGAUACAAAGCGCUUUGAGGUCGCAGUGAAGAGGCUCAAGCAACUGUUUAACAAAAACACAGGUCUAUGCGAAGCUGUAAGGCGAAGUAUAUGGGCUGACACCUGCCCAGUGCCGGAAGGUUAAGAGGAGGAGUGAGAGCUCCGAAUUGAAGCCCCGGUGAACGGCGGCCGUAACUAUAACGGUCCUAAGGUAGCGAAAUUCCUUGUCGGGUAAGUUCCGACCUGCACGAAUGGUGUAAUGAUUUGAGCGCUGUCUUGACGGGAGGCCUGGUGAAAUUGUAUUACCGGUGAAGAUACCGGUUACCUACAGUAGGACGGAAAGACCCCAUGGAGCUUUACUGUAGCUUGGUAUUGGGUUUUGGCAUGGCAUGUAUAGGAUAGUUGGGAGACUGGGAAGGAAUGGCGCUAGCUGUACCGGAGUCAUCGGUGGAAUACCAACCAUUCCCUGCUGAAAUUCUAAUCUGUACUUUGGAGGUAUGGAGACAGUGCUAGGUGGGCAGUUUGACUGGGGCGGUCGCCUCCGAAAGAGUAACGGAGGCGUUCAAAGGUUCUCUCAGGUUGGAUGGAAAUCAACCGCAGAGUGCAAUGGCAAAAGAGAGCUUGAC